UGGGGAAUUUUGCACAAUGGGGGAAACCCUGAUGCAGCGACGCCGCGUGAUUUAGAAGGCCUUCGGGUUGUAAAAAUCUUUUCUAUGGGAAGAAAAUGACAGUACCAUAGGAAUAAGGACCGGCUAAUUACGUGCCAGCAGCCGCGGUAAUACGUAAGGUCCGAGCGUUGUCCGGAAUCAUUGGGCGUAAAGGGUACGUAGGCGGGUAAGCAAGUUAGAAGUGAAAUCCUAUAGCUCAACUAUAGUAAGCUUUUAAAACUGCUCAUCUUGAGGUAUGGAAGGGAAAGUGGAAUUCCUAGUGUAGCGGUGAAAUGCGCAGAUAUUAGGAGGAAUACCGGUGGCGAAGGCGACUUUCUGGUCAUAACCUGACGCUGAGGUACGAAAGCGUGGGUAGCAAACAGG
rnacentral:rRNA from 2 species